AUGUAGUUAAGAGAUCAUGCCAAAAUGAAGGAAAGGUUUAGCCUUAACAUACCUUAUCACAAUCUUUCUAAUAACCAUGUUGAACUCGUCUCUUCUCACCUUAAUCUACGACAAUGAAAAUAAUACUAUCAUUAAGUUACGAAAGGUACAACUAUCGCAUAACGAACAUAGGCUUAUUUUAUAUAAAAACAGGCAGCAUCUCCCCUAUUAUUUGUACUUCCUCAAAAUUCAAUAUAACACCAAAAAUACAAGAACACAACAAUAAAAAAAUAUAUACAUUAUUUUCCAACCUUAUAUACACCACAAAAUACUACAAAACAGCCCAACACACCUCAAUCUCUUCAUACACAAAAUGACCACCGUAGUAGUGUACAACAACCCAAAAAUGUUAAGGAGAACGACCAGCCCACUACCCUGCAUUUAUGUGGUGCUUCUCCAUACCUUUUC
rnacentral:lncRNA from 1 species